GUUCAUCAUACCGAAAUAAAACCAUUUUUUUUUUUUUUUUGCUUCUUUGCUUCUAGAGUUAUGUGCGACCUUUUUCUAAAUUUGAAUUUCCACUUAUGUGGUCUCUUUGGACUCGAGCUCAAAAUCUAUUGAGUUAUCUAGUCAUGAACUUUUCAUAUCUCCAUUUUAGUUCCACUGAUUAUGGGUUUCAGUAGCUUUCUCCACUUUAGGUAGGUAGAUUGCUGUUCGUGCUCUUCUGUUCCACUAUGCAUCAAUUAUUAUCACAAUAGAUCUACAAUGCUUAACCAAUUGGGUAGCUCGUCAACUUAGGACAAGCUAAAAAUGCUCGAUAGCACUUACGUUUUCACGAGCGAUAACCAGGACCGAGUUGCAAAAGUUGUAGUCAUUGGAGAAGCAUGUAAAUCCUUUUGCAAAUGCAUAAAAGAUUGGCAAUUGGAAGAGUGCGCUUAGGGAUAGGGGUGUUCGGUUCAGGAUUUGGCUAGGAACUGGAACCGAACCGAAAUUUUGGUACAGUUCU
rnacentral:misc_RNA from 1 species